UACGUAGGGUGCGAGCGUUAAUCGGAAUUACUGGGCGUAAAGCGUGCGCAGGCGGUUUUGUAAGCCAGAUGUGAAAUCCCCCGGGCUUAACCUGGGAAUGGCAUUUGGGACUGCAAGGCUGGAGUUUGGCAGAGGAGACUGGAAUUCCUGGUGUAGCAGUGAAAUGCGUAGAUAUCAGGAGGAAUACCGAUGGCGAAGGCAGGUCUCUGGGCUAUAACUGACGCUCAUGCACGAAAGCGUGGGGAGCAAACAGGAUUAACGAAACCCCGGUACGUCCA
rnacentral:rRNA from 1 species